CAUAAACCUCUGGCAGUCGGGAGAGGUUAUUAGCUCAGUAGGUUUCACAGCCCAGUGUGCAGAAGAUCAUGGGGCUGGUACUGGAGGCCUGUGGUAAAAAUGCAGAUUCCUGGACUCCACUUACAGGCAUUCUGAUUCAGUAGAUCAGCUGAAGCCAGAAUUCUGUUUUCUUAACGAUCAAGGACAAGUGCACUAUUGCAGGUGGUCAUUAAACCUUUGAGGAGCCACCUUUCAGGAACUGUGGGAGCAGCACCAAAAAGAAAAGGGGGUACUGCAAGAGAAGAAGCCAAAGUCCACCUCUGCCGACUUCCUGGCUGUACCACAGUGAAGGGGUCCAGAACCUGCCUCUGGAAAAUAUGCCACUUUGAUGUCUUGAUCUUAUGAGCUGAAGGCACUUGAGAAACAGCAGAUAUGGGAAGCACUUUCUGACCUCUCCCUUUCUACCUAAAAGCAGGCCAGAUGAGGGAAGCAGCCCCGCCAUCUGAUUGCCUCUUACACGCACAGUCAUUACAGUAGGCAGAAAGAGACCUGCCACGGCCUCAGAUAAGAGCUGGACCUUGUUCAGAGUCAUCUUUCCAACAUGGAAGUCAGAUCAUCGCCCUCUCUGUUUCCAAUUGCUCAGUGGCUCCCACCACCUACACGAUGAAGCCCAAAAUCCAUAAUAUGGCACCAAGGUCCUGAGUCAUGAGGCAGCUUCCAGAGGUUGAUCAUUCUUCUUUCUGCCACAUCCCUCCUCACCUGAAGCACUACCUUGACAGGAUGCUUGCCACUUCAGCUGAUUAAGGUCCAGUCUCAGAACUGCUUUCUCAACAAGGCAAUAUUGUAACCAAGUCCCUCUGGCACUUAAGAACUAAGUACCCACACCCCUUGGAAGGAAUCCAAGACAGAACCUUGUCCUACCAAAUUCCACUGCAGUAAAUUAUGCCAUACUUUGUUGUACUUUAGCUUGUACUGAUUAAAUUACAGAAGAAAGAUUCCAUUUAUAUUCAAUGCAAUGAUCAUCAGAUGGAGAAGUAAAAAGGAUUCUGCCUAAAAAAAAAAAAAAAAAGGUGUUGGACCAGAUUCUUACAACCACUACAUCACUUCCUGGAGUAUUCCUGGAACUCACCAAUGUUUCCCAUUAUGUUACUGUCUCCGGUCGUAUAGGAGAAUGACUCUUUCCCACACAGUGAAAUUGAACAUGACCAUUUGACUUGUCAUGGUCAAUGAAUUGUGAAAUGGAAGCGACAUGCAUCUCUUCUGAGUAAAAGAAUCCUGCGUCAGGAUGAGAUUCCCUGUGCUCUUUUCCCCAGCGAUAGAGAUGGUGGACACAAAUACUGAGAUUGCAAGUACCCUGAGAUUAAAGGACCUAUAAGGUUGGGCCACCAUCUGGUGAAUCACCGGAACCUAAAGUGGUCUUGGUAUAACAAAAAAAUGUCUAUUAUUUGUCACCAUAGCAUAACCUAACCUAUAUUAGAAUAACACAGUAGGGGGAUCCCUGGGUGGCGCAGCGGUUUGGCGCCUGCCUUUGGCCCAGGGCACGAUCCUGGAGACCCGGGAUCGAAUCCCACGUCGGGCUCCCUGUGCAUGGAGCCUGCUUCUCCCUCUGCCUCUGUCUCUGCCUCUCUCUCUCUCUCUCUCUGUAUGACUAUCAUAAAUAAAUAAAAAAAUUAAAAAAAAAAGAAUAACACAGUAACUUUAGAUCCCAAAGAACAGAAUUUGCUUUUGUAGCUUCUAUACUAGUCAUCAAUAAAAUGCUAAAGUUUUCAAGGUUAUCUAACUCCCAGAUAGAAGCUUAUAUUCUGUUUCAUUUAACAAAAAUCAGAAGCUAGUGUUCCCAUUAAAAUUUAAUUGUGAGAUGAAACUGGAAUCACUUUCUUAUACCAUAUAUGAAAAUUAAUUCAAAAAGGAUGAAAGACCUACAUGUGGGACAGGAAACCAUCAAAAUCCUAGAGGAGAACACAGACAGUAACCUCUCUGACAUUGGCCAGAACAACUUUUUACUAGAUGUGUCUCCUAAGGCAAGUGAAACAACAAUAAAAAUAAGUUAUUGGGACUUCAUCAAAAUAAAAAACUUCUGCACUGUGAGGGAAAAUUUAAAAAACUAAAAGGUAACCUACAGAAUGAAAGAAGAUUAUUUGCAAAUGACAUAUCUGAUAAAUGGUUACUAUCCAAAAUAUGUAAAGAAUUUAUAAGACUCAAUACCUUAAAAACAAAUAAUCCAGUUAAAAGUGGGCUGAAGACAUGAAUAAUUGCAUUACUGUUUACUGAAAUGGCAUGAAAACACUGAUUUGCAGGGAUACACGCACCAAUGUUUAUAGCAGCAUUAUCAACAAUAGCCCAAUUAUAGAAAGAGCCCAAAUGUCCAUUGACCAUUGAAUGGAUAACGAAAUUGUGGUACACACACACACACACACACACAUCAGAAUAUUACUCAGCCAUAAAAAGAAAAAAAAGAAAUCUUGUUAUUUGCAACAACAUGGAUGGAACUAGAGAGCAUUAUGCUAAGUGAAAUAACUCA